rnacentral:rRNA from 1 species
GCAAAAGCUCAAAUUUGAAAUCCUUCGGGAGUUGUAAUUUGUAGAGGGGUGUCUUUGGGGCGGCAUUGUCUAUGUUCCUUGGAACAGGACGUCACAGAGGGUGAGAAUCCCGUGCGAUGAUGCCUCAACCAGUACAAGACCCUCUCGACGAGUCGAGUUGUUUGGGAAUGCAGCUCUAAGUGGGUGGUAAAUUCCAUCUAAAGCUAAAUACUGGCGAGAGACCGAUAGCGAACAAGUACAGUGAUGGAAAGAUGAAAAGCACUUUGAAAAGAGAGUGAAACAGUACGUGAAAUUGUUGAAAGGGAAGGGUAGGAGGUGAGGGGAAGAGCUGCUUAGGCGCGGGAGAUAAACAAGCAGGAAGCGCUUCGGUGCGGCCUGGUAAAUAUCCCGUGCUUGUGUGGUUCUUCCGUAAUCCCCUUCUACCGCCCGUCUUG